CUGAAGGACGGCAUUCACAUAGGGCGUAUUGCGCGGAACGUGUAACUAAUACAACCAAUCGUAGAUUAGAGUUUCCGUUGUAUGCUUUAACAGAAAUGCUAAAUAGGACUUGUAAUUGGUUUUCGUAACCUACGCGUCCCGAAUAAUACGCUUUAUAAGGAACCGAUGCUUUGGGUUCCGUAAAACGCGCACAUUUAAAAUGGCUGGCAAAGUGACAAGAUAAACGAAAUAUGUAAAAGACGAGAAGUAAUUGAUGCAGAACAGCUUAGUAUUUUGCAGCAUUUUUAAUAGAAACCUGAUUUAGGCAACAGCGAGAACGACGACAACAAAUUACUGACGGAUUUCGAGGAAAGUUUGAGUUGCGCCGCGAACUCCGGGUACCUUCUCCACCAUUUGUGUUCAGCUGGAUAUGGAAAGUCUGGUGGUCAACGCAUUGCUAUAGUACCAUCAAUUCACGACAUAAACGAAAUCAGUACGUUUGACGCGUUUCACAAUGAACAACGUCUGUCCGUUCAGGAUAUGGCAGGUGAUGCUACUGCGAUUAUUCUCAGCUAUGCUGAAAUCACCCUUUGCAAUCUGGCGUUCAAGACGUUGUGAAUCAUGGUAAAUGCAAGAUUGAUCGAAAUCUAUUUAUACAAAAUUUACAAAAUUUUCAUCUACAACGAUGCGAUCCUUAUCUUCCACAUAAUGCUUGAAGCAUUCAUGCUCGACAAAAUUAGUAGCAAAUUUGAACAACCAUCCACAAUACCCGCAUUUGUGCUGAAAAGAUUCAAACAUGCAAUGUAGAAAAUAAUGCAUUAUGAUGUUCAUAUUGCUCAAAAUUCUCAAAAAUUCAUGCAUGUAAAACAAGAAAUCAAUAUAUGUUAAAUAUUAGAGAAAGAGAAAACAAAUUUUAAAUGCAAAAAGUACGAAGAUCUACUAAUAUACAAUUUAAACUUGAAAUUUUGUAUCACAUGUCGUGAGCAGUAGACUGUUUUUAAUCGAACGCUAUUAAAGCUUAUAUAAUGUAUUAUGAUGUUCAUAUUGCUCAAAAUUCUCAAAAAUUCAUGCAUGUAAAACAAGAAAUCAAUAUAUGUUAAAUAUUAGAGAAAGAGAAAACAAAUUUUAAAUGCAAAAAGUACGAAGAUCUACUAAUAUACAAAUUAAACUUGAAAUUUUGUAUCACAUGUCGUGAGCAGUAGAUUGUUUUUAAUCAAACGCUAUUAAAGCUUAUAUAAUGCAUUAUGAUGUUCAUAUUGCUCAAAAUUCUCAAAAAUUCAUGCAUGUAAAACAAGAAAUCAAUAUAUGUUAAAUAUUAGAGAAAGAGAAAACAAAUUUUAAAUGCAAAAAGUACGAAGACCUAUUAAUAUACAAAUUAAACUUGAAAUUUGGAUUUUUGUUAACUUACCGUUAUUUGAUUAUUCUUAUUCAUCUUAUUAAUGUAUAGGUAUGGAUGAAUUAAAAUUAACUUCUUCUUUGUCUUUAGUCUUUGGACCAAUCAUAUCGUCUCAUUUCAGUAUCAGUUUCUGUCUAGUUAUUUUAUGCUUUGUACGCUAUUAUCGUUACGCCGAAUUCAAUUUCUGGCGAAAGAAACGCUGAUGCGUAUUUGUAAAAAAAAACACAACUCCAUUUGUGCGUUUUUCUGCCAAAGACUAAAGACAAAGAAAAAGUUAAUUUUAAUUCAUCCAUACCUAUACAUUAAUAAGAUGAAUAAGAAUAAUCAAAUAAGGGUAAGUUAACAAAAAUCUAAUUUAUUAUAUAAGCUUUAAUAGCGUUCGAUUAAAAACAGUUUACUGCUCACGACAUGUGAUACAAAAUUUCAAGUUUAAAUUGUAUAUUAGUAGGUCUUCGUACUUUUUGCAUUUGAAAUCUGUUUCCUCUUUCUCUAAUAUUUAACAUAUAUUGAUUUCUUGUUUUACAUGCAUGAAUUUUUGAGAAUUUUGAGCAAUAUGAACAUCAUAAUGCAUUAUUUUCUACAUUGCAUGUUUGAAUCUUUUCAGCACAAAUGCGGGUAUUGUAAAUGGCUGUUCCAAUUUUCUACUAAUUUUGUCGAGCAUGAAUGCUUCAAGCAUUAUGUGAAAGAUAAGAAUUGCAUCGUUGUAAAUGAAAAUUUUGUUGUGACAAUAUGUUAUAACAGUAUAUUUACUACAUUCUUUGCAUAUAUUUUGUUGUAUUAUUUUAUUGUAUUAUAGUAUAUAAAUGUAUUUAUUUAUUUAAUAAUCCAAGAGAAUGCAAAGACUGCGGAAGGUCCUACAGAUACUUUAGAUGAACUCUUGAUCGAAGCAGUGAGGGCUCUCGUCUUUUACAUAUUUCGUUUAUCUUGUCAUUUUGCCAGCCAUUUUAAAUAUGCGCGUUUUACGGAACCCAAAGCAUCCGUUCCCCAUAAAGCGUAUUAUUCGGGACGCGUAGGUUACGAAAACCAAUCACAAGUCCUAUUUAGCAUUUCUGUUAAAGCAUACACCGGAAACUCUAAUCUACGAUUGGUUGUAUUAGUUACACGUUUCGCGUAAUACGCUCUAUGUGAAUGCCGUCCUUCAGAAUAGCGUAACCACGGCGUAUAAUACGCAGGUUACGCUUAACGCAAGUUACGCCUCAUGUGACGGCACUCUUACACCGGCUAUACCCCAGGGACGCCGAGAGCUAGGACUGAUGUUGGAGAUCUGGGGGCUGGGAAGGCAUUAGAAUGGGGAAUUUAAGUCACUAGUAGGCGUGGCGAGACCUCGUGUAAGAUUCUUGAAGUUUUCUAAAAUGGAGAUUACUUCAUCGGCAGUCAAAUCGCCCGUCAUAAAAUCACAGACGACGCCAACUAAUGCUUUGAAUAACAAUUUUAGCAUAAACUCUUCUAUAGCUCUAUCAACAUUUGUGCAGUUUAUUUAUAAAUUGUAAAAGAAGUCAAAAUUGUCCUCGGGAUAUCUUAUAAUUUCUACUCUCAAUUUCCCUUUGGGAAUAUAAAAAUUUUAUACGAGAACUGUAAACACAUCGGUAUCUAUUAAUCCUGUAGCCAAGUCAAUUAAUAGUCCAAUAAUAAUAUCGAUAAUAGAAUAAAGGUCUAUUUUCCUGA